rnacentral:rRNA from 1 species
AACGAACGCUGGCGGCAUGCCUAACACAUGCAAGUCGAACGAGGCCUUCGGGUCUAGUGGCGCACGGGUGCGUAACGCGUGGGAACCUGCCCUUAGGUUCGGAAUAACUCCCCGAAAGGGGUGCUAAUACCGGAUAAUGUCUUCGGACCAAAGAUUUAUCGCCUUUGGAUGGGCCCGCGUUGGAUUAGCUAGUUGGUAGGGUAAAAGCCUACCAAGGCGACGAUCCAUAGCUGGUCUGAGAGGAUGAUCAGCCACACUGGGACUGAGACACGGCCCAGACUCCUACGGGAGGCAGCAGUGGGGAAUAUUGGACAAUGGGCGAAAGCCUGAUCCAGCAAUGCCGCGUGAGUGAUGAAGGCCUUAGGGUUGUAAAGCUCUUUUACCCGGGAUGAUAAUGACAGUACCGGGAGAAUAAGCGCCGGCUAACUCCGUG